rnacentral:rRNA from 1 species
GACGAACGCUGGCGGCGUGCUUAACACAUGCAAGUCGAACGGAAAGGCCCUGCUUUUGUGGGGUGCUCGAGUGGCGAACGGGUGAGUAACACGUGAGUAACCUGCCCUUGACUUUGGGGUAACUUCAGGAAACUGGGGCUAAUACCGGAUAGGAGCUCCUGCUGCAUGGUGGGGGUUGGAAAGUUUGGGCGGUUGGGGAUGGACGCGCGGCUUAUCAGCUUGUUGGUGGGGGAGUGGCUUACCAAGGCUUUGACGGGUAGCCGGCCUGAGAGGGUGACCGGCCACAUUGGGACUGAGGUACGGCCCAGACUCCUACGGGAGGCAGCAGUGGGGAAUAUUGCACAAUGGGCGGAAGCCUGAUGAAGCAACGCCGCGUGCGGGAUGACGGCCUUCGGGUUGUAAAACGCUUUCGCCUGUGACGAAGCGUGAGUGACGGUAAUGGGUAAAGAAGCACCGGCUAACUACGUG